AACGAACGCUGGCGGCAGGCUUAACACAUGCAAGUCGAACGCCCCGCAAGGGGAGUGGCAGACGGGUGAGUAACGCGUGGGAACAUACCCUUUCCUGCGGAAUAGCUCCGGGAAACUGGAAUUAAUACCGCAUACGCCCUACGGGGGAAAGAUUUAUCGGGGAAGGAUUGGCCCGCGUUGGAUUAGCUAGUUGGUGGGGUAAAGGCCUACCAAGGCGACGAUCCAUAGCUGGUCUGAGAGGAUGAUCAGCCACAUUGGGACUGAGACACGGCCCAAACUCCUACGGAAGGCAGCAGUGGGGAAUAUUGGACAAUGGGCGCAAGCCUGAUCCAGCCAUGCCGCGUGAGUGAUGAAGGCCUUAGGGUUGUAAAGCUCUUUCACCGGAGAAGAUAAUGACGGUAUCCGGAGAAGAAGCCCCGGCUAACUUCGUGCCAGCCGCCGCGGUAAUAC
rnacentral:rRNA from 1 species